UACGUCCUUCUGAUGUGAAAUAAUCUUCAGAUGUCCAGUUCUGUUAAAGAAGGAAAAUGAGCUGAUGUCCUGGCUGCAGUUUCAUAAUAACAACAAAAAAAACGAACAAAAAACCCCGUUUUGCAGGUAGAGGAGCAAGAGAGGCUUUCAGCUAACUUACAGCCCCGAGGAAAAAGCUGCUUUUAGUCGGAAGCCAGCGUGCGUUAUCUGGCAGCUGUCUGACGUUUGAGUGCCCGUUUAAACGUGAGCCCUGGAUCCACCUCUGGAAGCCACGUGGGGCCACGGGCGUCCCCGUCGCACCGUGGGAUGCGAACGGGGCCACAAGUGACCGCUUGGCCGGGGGACGUUCUCCAGGUGCUGCUUCACGUGUCUUAGCCGAAGCAGGAUGGGUAUUUUUAGAAAGGCUUCAAAUGUCAAUGCAAAAACUGCUUUGACGAAGAGCUCACCACAACCUGUUCGGAGACUUAAUUACCCUUGCCGUUAAAAACGUGCCCUUUAUUUCUGAAUUAAUCUCAAGAUCUUGUUACGGCUCUGCUGGAGCGAAGAUCCCGUCGCCGUCAGAUCCCCGUCCUGGAUGCCAGCGCUCAGACCCCGAUGCAGCUGCUUCCUGGCCACUUUUGUUGCUGUACUAAAUAGAUUAAGCUCCUGCCGGGGCCGAUCAUCUUAACCAUUCCCGGUCUUGCCGCGGUUCUCAUGGCUGUUUUGAGCCUUGGGUUGGUUUCUGGCAUCGCCCCCGAAGCGCCGAGACGGGAUCCGACCUCGCGGCUCCUCCCUGCCGUCCACCGUCUGAAGGGGACCAUCCGCCUCGUGCCCAGGGCUCCCCGCCAGGGUCCCGGCGCCGGGGCACAGCUCCGGGCAGAGCUUGGUGCGCUGCGAGCUCUUGGUAGAUACGGCCCCAAGCGCGUCGCAUCCGAGCGAUGGUGCGUCCUGCGUCCGGUUUAUCAGCUAGCUCUGACCGCUCCCUGUAUCCGUUCUCCCUGUUCUCCAAAUCCAUCAUGACCACGCAAAGACCGGGCAACUAGUAAUUCAUGUUUUGUUCCAGGCUGCCGCUAACAGCGAUGAUGCGGAUAACGCUGCCAGAACAUGGAAGGACUGAAAAAACGUACAAGGAAGGCCUUUGGUAUACGCAAGAAAGAAAAGGAUACUGAUUCCACAGGGUCGCCGGACAGGGACGGACUCAUAGCCCCGGGUAGCGGGAGGAUCGUGUCUCCUUUAGCCGUUUGAUUUCAAGCUUGCAAAGAAGCAUGUUGGGUUCAGGCUUCACCGUGCGCCGCUUCCGAAGAGACGUUGCGUUCGGGCUUCGGAAGCUCACGCUCCAAGUAAAAAAGGAGGGACGCGUUUUGGGGGGCUCGGCAGGAGCGGAGGGGCCGCGGGGGCCCCUGGGAGGCCCCAGGCGCCGGAGCACCCGGCAUGUCCUUCGCGGAGCUGUACAAAAAUUGGCCGCUGCUUUAGAGGUGCCGUGCUGCCACGUCUGACCCGAGAUCCUUGGCUUUGGGCUAGCCCUGCCUUCGUGAGCCCUUCGUUACUGGCUGUUAGGAAAUAGCAAAUUAGAAAAGUUAAAAGCGUGCAGCUCAGGUAGUGCUUUAAUCAAGGCCCUAUUCAGCCGGGCCGGGCGGGGGGGGGAAAGAAAAACGCGACUUUCCACCCAAGUGCACGGAAUAAAUUUGUCUCCGCUAGCUUCCAUCCUUUUCUAUCAUUUUGCUUUUUUUUUUUGGGUGCGUCUUAGCCGCUUGGAGCGCCCCUUCUUCGCGCGGGGGUGGUCAGGC